rnacentral:rRNA from 1 species
UACAGAGGUCCCAAGCGUUGUUCGGAUUCACUGGGCGUAAAGGGUGCGUAGGCGGUCGGGUAAGUCUGAUGUGAAAUCUCCAAGCCUAACUUGGAAACUGCGUUGGAUACUAUCCGGCUCGAGGAAUGGAGGGGAGACUGGAAUACUUGGUGUAGCAGUGAAAUGCGUAGAUAUCAAGUGGAACACCAGUGGCGAAGGCGAGUCUCUGGACAUUUCCUGACGCUGAGGCACGAAAGCCAGGGGAGCAAACAGG